GAAUGCUUCAUAGCCCAAAGCCCCGGCGCCUAAGGAUGACUCUGCGGACUAUCAGGUAGUAGUCAGGGUAAGGACCUGACUAGCCUACGACGGAUACGGGGUGUGAGAGCACUACCCCGGAGAUGGAUUCUGAGACACGAAUCCAGGCCCUACGGGGUGCAGCAGGCGCGAAACUUCCGCAAUGCUCGCCACAGUGACGGAGGGAUUCCAAGUGCCUAUGCUAUGCGUAGGCUGUUUUCAUGUCUAAAUAACAUGGAGAGUAAGAGCUGGGUAAGACGGGUGCCAGCCGCCGCGGUAAUACCUGCAGCUCGAGUGGUAA
rnacentral:rRNA from 1 species